UUCCUAUUGCACAGUGGGCUCUUUGACGCAACAGAAAGAGCUGCCUCUCUCUCUUUUUUUCUUUUUUUUUUUUUUUUGCUUCCUCUUAAAUCCGCCUGGCCAAUUUAAAGCUUGUGGAUAUUUCUUCUCCCUUGGGGAAAGCUUAUGUGAGGAUUUUCUUUUUUAACAGUUCAUUCCAUGAAACCGUUUUUUUCUUGUUUGCUGUUAGAAAAUGUUGGAGCUGAACACAAGGCUUUCAUUGCAGUGCACUUUAUUGGGAAGCAUGUUACUCCUAAGCACAUGCUGCCUGCAGGGAAGAUAGUUAUUUGCAGUUUUGUAUUUCAUCUUAGAUGCUGUCAAGGGAACUAGGAAAGGAUGUAAACAUAUUGUUAAUGUCUCUCUUCAAGCUGUGUGUGAGGCUGUAAAGUGUGCUGCAAAUGGUCUAUUGCAUAAGCCUCUAGUGGAAUGUGUUCUCAGGAAAUGACUCUUAGCUUGAAUUACUCUGGAAAAGGAGGCUGCCUAAAAGCAAGUCUUCCUACCCAUUACAGUAAGUUUCCAUAUGAACAGAAACAAAGACUCAGAAGCACGAAGCUCCUCUCUUAAAAAAAUCUCUUCCAAUA